UAUGUGAUCGUCUCUCGCAUAUCAAUAAGCGGAGGAAAAGAAACUAACAAGGAUUCCCCUAGUAACGGCGAGUGAAGCGGGAAGAGCUCAAAUUUGAAAUCUUAAAGGGUUUCCCUUUACGAAUUGUAGUUUAAAGAAGUGUUUUCUGUUGAGGUUUUGGUAAAAGUUCUUUGGAAUAGGACAUCAUAGAGGGUGAGAAUCCCGUAUUUGACCUUUACUUUCAACUUUGUGAUACACUUUCAAAGAGUCGGAUUGUUUGGGAAUGCAGUCCAAAAUGGGUGGUAAAUUUCAUCUAAAGCUAAAUAUUGGCGAGAGACCGAUAGCGAACAAGUACCGUGAGGGAAAGAUGAAAAGAACUUUGAAAAGAGAGUUAAACAGUACGUGAAAUUGUCAAAAGGGGAAGCGUUUGACACCAGUGUUGUUUUUCUGAAAAUCAAUUAAAGAACUGUUUAUGCUAAGUUGUUUAGACUUUAUCAGCUAACUGUUUAGUUUUGAGCUUUUCUUUAAUGCACUUUUCAGUUAACAAGUCAACAUCAAUUUCUUUUGCUGUAAAAAAGCUUGAGGAAGGUGGCUUGAGAUUCGUCUUAAGUGUUUAUAGCCUCUUGCCUAUGCAGUCGGAGAGAUUGAGGUCUGCAGCGUAGAUCCUUCGGGGCUAAAUGCAUUUGUGCUAAGUUAUAACAUUUUAUAGACAACUUGUUGACUAUGAUUUGUCUUGUAGCUUACUCGCUUAUGUUAUUUUACCUACGCUUAGGAUGUUGACACACGCGCGUGCUCG
rnacentral:rRNA from 1 species